GAGAAAGAGCGCUUACCUUUGGAUACGGAUUUUAGGAAGACAACGAAACCCUAAUCUUUACGGAGCGGGCAGACUGGCAAUUUCUGAAACAUACUCUUUGAAUUACGAGGUUUGUUCAUGAGGUUCAGCCGUUCAGGUAGAUAACUCGGGGAAAAACUAAGAAACAUAAAAUAACAUUCUCGGGUCGGAGUUAGAAUCGGAUCCAUAAUAUAUUUUUAGCAAAUAAUGGUUCGAUACUUAGUACUAAUUAGUAAUAGUAUAGAAGGAAAAUCCGAUUACAGUAGCCGGUAUAAAUAGGCGACCAAAACAUAGAAUUUAAUAUUUUCUUUCUAUUAACAAACAAACAAUUUUACAAAAUCUGAUUAUGAAAAAAUUAGGAAUAACUACAUUCAUCAUACAUUCAUUGAUUCAUACAUGUUACAAAUUUACAAUCGAGACGCUAUAUAGAUUCCAUCUUUUUCGUAAAUGUAUUAGUAAAUGGCCAAAUUAGCCAUCCGUUAAUUUAUUUCUUCCCAUCCAUUAAAGAUAUUCUCUAUAAUCUGAUAGCAUUGGGAUUUCUCUAUAAUAUAUGAACCUUAAGAUAGAAAAAUUACUGUUUCCAAAUGAAUAUACAAAAUACAAUUUCAAUUAUCAUGCUCAAGGCAAGGUGAGUAACAAAGGACUUCAACCAAAUUAAAGAUUUUGAUCACUAGGAAACUGGCAAUUGAUGGUAACUAUUAAAAUCCUGAUCUCAAUUGCCUCCAUCUGAUGGUUUAUCAGAAGACAGAUCAAAGAGCUUUAUUAUUAGUGUUUAUCAUCCUUGGAGACAUCUUUUUUUGAAAUCUUUGAUUCCAGCUCAUUAACAUUCCUGCAAAAUCAUUCAUGAUAAAAUGAAAUGUAAGUGAACUAUUGAUAUCUAUUUUCUUCUAUUUCGAAAUCGACAUAAGAUAAACAAUAAUUUUGUAAUAGAAAUAUUAUGUCACAAUUCGCAUGUUAUAUAUGAAUAGAAAAGGUUUGAAACAGACAAAGAAAUAGAAAUAGCAAACUCACUUAGCAGCCGAUUUAGGAUCUUCUUCAAGCCAAUGCUUUAUCUGUCGAGCAUUGCGCCUAAAAACAGCGGCAGACUUCUUUACAUCAUAUCGGAGAAGCACAACUGCAGCAGACACACCAGCAACAGUCAGGAUGAAGUUGGUCAAUGCCAUUUCAGCAAGAUACCUGUAAAUAAAAUCUAUAGAUCAACAAAUACCUUAAAGAAUGUUAAUAAAGAAAUAAACAAUCAGUCAAGAACACAAAAUCACAAAUCUUUUUGGAUUUUCAUUCACAAGAGAAUCUGAUGCAAAUAUUUUUUGGUAUAGCAGUUUGCUAUUUUUUUCAAUACCUUGACUAUAAUUUGAUAUAAUUUCUCAAAUAUUCACUUCUUGUUUCAAAUAUAGCAAACAACAACAAAGUAUCUAGAGUAUCUACAGCAAACGAAAGAAAGAAAACACAACUAUAACGUUGAGACCAACUAAUUCAGCAGCAAAAUAGAACAGACACGAAAUUAAAAGAAGAAGAAUCGAAGCUAGCAAUCUAAAAAUCCAAAAACAAUGAAAACAACGACAGAAACUCCUCACGUUAGUAUUUGGGACAAAAAAAGCUAAAAAAACAGAGAAAAAUUGUACCAAUCAAAAUAUACCGGAUUCAUGAAUAAGAUGCCUUUAGAGUUACGGAUUUACUUAGGUGGGAACAGAGUAGAAUGUAGAGAGGAAAACAACACAGUGGGAAAACAGGAGGUAUGCUAAAGAAUCGAAAACCCUAAUAUUAAAGAAACAGUAGCAAAAAAAACGGUGAUUCGAGUGCACGAUCGAAACAAACAGAGAAAAAGCGCUUACCUUUGGAUACGGAUUUUAGGAAGAUAAUGAAACCCUAAUCUUUACGGAGCGGGCGGGCUGGCAAUUUCUGAAACAUACUCUUUGAAUUACGAGGUUUGGAUGACGAGGUUUGUUCAGGUAGAUAACUCGGGACGGGUCUGAAAGAUGUGGUACAUGGGAAAAUUCUCAUUUUUGUCGACACAAACCCCUACAAAACGGACGGAUCCGGGUGAGAC
rnacentral:lncRNA from 1 species